AACGAACGCUGGCGGCAUGCCUAACACAUGCAAGUCGAACGAGACCUUCAGGUCUAGUGGCGCACGGGUGCGUAACGCGUGGGAAUCUGCCCUUGGGUUCGGAAUAACUCAGAGAAAUUUGAGCUAAUACCGGAUGAUGACGAAAGUCCAAAGAUUUAUCGCCCAAGGAUGAGCCCGCGUAAGAUUAGCUUGUUGGUGGGGUAAUGGCCUACCAAGGCGACGAUCUUUAGCUGGUCUGAGAGGAUGAUCAGCCACACUGGGACUGAGACACGGCCCAGACUCCUACGGGAGGCAGCAGUGGGGAAUAUUGGACAAUGGGCGAAAGCCUGAUCCAGCAAUGCCGCGUGAGUGAUGAAGGCCUUAGGGUUGUAAAGCUCUUUUACCAGGGAUGAUAAUGACAGUACCUGGAGAAUAAGCUCCGGCUAACUCCGUGCCAGCCGCCGCAGUAA
rnacentral:rRNA from 1 species